rnacentral:ribozyme from 1 species
UGCCCAGCAACUCCUUUCUCUGCCUCCUCGCGGUACUGGCCGGGGUACGAGUAACCUUAGGGAAUAUCGGGUAACCAAUUCCGGUGGG